UACGUAGGUGGCAAGCGUUGUCCGGAAUCACUGGGCGUAAAGCGCGCGCAGGCGGCGAUCUACGUCUGGGGUGAAAGCCCGGAGCUCAACUCCGGGACUGCCUUGGAUACGGGAUCGCUUGAGGAUUGGAGAGGCAAGGGGAAUUCCACGUGUAGCGGUGAAAUGCGUAGAUAUGUGGAGGAACACCUGCGGCGAAGGCGGGUUGCUGGGCCGACACUGACGCUGAGGCGCGAAAGCCAGGGGAGCGAACGGG
rnacentral:rRNA from 1 species